rnacentral:rRNA from 1 species
UACAGAGGUCCCAAGCGUUGUUCGGAUUCAUUGGGCGUAAAGGGUGCGUAGGUGGUUGGGUAAGUUUGAUGUGAAAUCUCCGGGCUUAACCCGGAAAUGGCAUUGAAUACUAUUCGGCUAGAGGUUUGGAGGGGGGACUGGAAUUCUUGGUGUAGCAGUGAAAUGCGUAGAUAUCAAGAGGAACACCAGUGGCGAAGGCGAGUCCCUGGACAACACCUGACACUGAGGCACGAAAGCUAGGGGAGCAAACAGG